rnacentral:lncRNA from 1 species
AAGAGUUUUACCACUGUAACUGCCACUGGCUGACAGCGAGGACUAAGACAGUCUGAUCAAACUCAAACUCGGAGGUAUUCCAGAGAGAGGGAGCGCACGGAGGGACUCUUUGAUAUCAGAGCUGGCAGGUGGGCAUCAGUAAAAUAGUGAUUCACACUCUCAGGUUCUCAAAGAUCUGCCGGCUCUGUGCUCGCCUGUCAAACACAAACUAAGCUGACCAGAC